CUACAUAGGGGGCGAGCGUUAUCCGGAUUUAUUGGGCGUAAAGGGUGCGUAGGCGGUAAAUUAAGUCUAAGGUUAAAGUGCAGGGCUCAACCCUGUGAUGCCUUAGAAACUGGUUUACUUGAGUUUGGUAGAGGUAAGUGGAACUCCAUGUGUAGUGGUAAAAUGCGUAAAUAUAUGGAAGAACACCAGUGGCGAAGGCGGCUUACUGGGCCACAACUGACGCUGAGGCACGAAAGCGUGGGGAGCAAACAGGAUUAGAUACCCUGGUAGUCCACGCUGUAAACGAUGAAUACUAAGUGUUGGAAAAAUCCAGUGCUGAAGUUAACGCAUUAAGUAUUCCGCCUGAGUAGUACGUACGCAAGUAUGAAACUCAAAGGAAUUGACGGGG
rnacentral:rRNA from 1 species